rnacentral:rRNA from 1 species
AUUGAACGCUGGCGGCAGGCCUAACACAUGCAAGUCGAGCGAGCGGCGGACGGGUGAGUAAUGCCUAGGAAUCUGCCUGGUAGUGGGGGAUAACGUCCGGAAACGGGCGCUAAUACCGCAUACCAUCGGAUGUGCACAGAUGGGAUUAGCUUGUAGGUGAGGUAACGGCUCACCUAGGCGACGAUCACUAGCUGGUCUGAGAGGAUGACGAGCCACACUGGAACUGAGACACGGUCCAGACUCCUACGGUAGGCAGCCGUGGGGAAUCUUGCACAAUGUGCGAAAGCCUGAUGCAGCCAUGCCGCGUGUAUGAAGAAGGCCUUCGGGUUGUAAAGUACUUUCAGCGGGGAGGCGUUACCCGCAGAAGAAGCACCGGCUAACUCCGUGCCAGCAGCCGCGGUAAUUC